rnacentral:rRNA from 1 species
UUUGAUCUCUAUAAAAGGUAACGCCUGCCCAGUGACUGCUCGUUAAACGGCCGCGGUACUCUGACCGUGCAAAGGUAGCGUAAUCACUUGUCUUUUAAAUAAAGACUAGUAUGAAUGGCAUCACGAGAACUAAUCUGUCUCCCUCCCCCAAUCAGUGAAACUGAUCUCCCCGUGCAGAAGCGGGGAUAAUAUCAUAAGACGAGAAGACCCUGUGGAGCUUCAAAUCAAAAAUCAACUGCUAUACUUCACCCAGAAAGGACACACCGCUAUGGAUUUGAUCUAGAUUUUUAGCUGGGGCGGCUGUGGAGAAAAAAGCAUCCUCCACGAAGACCUAUUCCAAGGGCUACUGCCCUAAGUAAUAAUAAAUUAGUUUAAUUGACCCAAUUUUUGAUCAACGAACCA